UGCAGUCGAACGAUGAUGCCCAGCUUGCUGGGUGGAUUAGUGGCGAACGGGUGAGUAACACGUGAGUAACCUGCCCCUGACUCUGGGAUAAGCGUUGGAAACGACGUCUAAUACUGGAUAUGAUCACUGGCCGCAUGGUCUGGUGGUGGAAAGAUUUUUUGGUUGGGGAUGGACUCGCGGCCUAUCAGCUUGUUGGUGAGGUAAUGGCUCACCAAGGCGACGACGGGUAGCCGGCCUGAGAGGGUGACCGGCCACACUGGGACUGAGACACGGCCCAGACUCCUACGGGAGGCAGCAGUGGGGAAUAUUGCACAAUGGGCGAAAGCCUGAUGCAGCAACGCCGCGUGAGGGAUGACGGCCUUCGGGUUGUAAACCUCUUUUAGUAGGGAAGAAGCGAAAGUGACGGUACCUGCAGAAAAAGCACCGGCUAACUACGUGCCAGCAGCCGCGGUAAUACGUAGGGUGCAAGCGUUGUCCGGAAUUAUUGGGCGUAAAGAGCUCGUAGGCGGUUUGUCGCGUCUGCUGUGAAAUCCCGAGGCUCAACCUCGGGCUUGCAGUGGGUACGGGCAGACUAGAGUGCGGUAGGGGAGAUUGGAAUUCCUGGUGUAGCGGUGGAAUGCGCAGAUAUCAGGAGGAACACCGAUGGCGAAGGCAGAUCUCUGGGCCGUAACUGACGCUGAGGAGCGAAAGCAUGGGGAGCGAACAGGAUUAGAUACCCUGGUAGUCCAUGCCGUAAACGUUGGGCGCUAGAUGUAGGGACCUUUCCACGGUUUCUGUGUCGUAGCUAACGCAUUAAGCGCCCCGCCUGGGGAGUACGGCCGCAAGGCUAAAACUCAAAGGAAUUGACGGGGGCCCGCACAAGCGGCGGAGCAUGCGGAUUAAUUCGAUGCAACGCGAAGAACCUUACCAAGGCUUGACAUACACCGGAAACGGCCAGAGAUGGUCGCCCCCUUGUGGUCGGUGUACAGGUGGUGCAUGGUUGUCGUCAGCUCGUGUCGUGAGAUGUUGGGUUAAGUCCCGCAACGAGCGCAACCCUCGUUCUAUGUUGCCAGCGGGUUAUGCCGGGGACUCAUAGGAGACUGCCGGGGUCAACUCGGAGGAAGGUGGGGAUGACGUCAAAUCAUCAUGCCCCUUAUGUCUUGGGCUUCACGCAUGCUACAAUGGCCGGUACAAAGGGCUGCGAUACCGUAAGGUGGAGCGAAUCCCAAAAAGCCGGUCUCAGUUCGGAUUGAGGUCUGCAACUCGACCUCAUGAAGUCGGAGUCGCUAGUAAUCGCAGAUCAGCAACGCUGCGGUGAAUACGUUCCCGGGCCUUGUACACACCGCCCGUCAAGUCAUGAAAGUCGGUAACACCCGAAGCCGGUGGCCUAACCCUUGUGGAAGGAGCCGUCGAAGGUGGGAUCGGUGAUUAGG
rnacentral:rRNA from 1 species